rnacentral:rRNA from 1 species
UACGGAGGGUGCAAGCGUUAUCCGGAUUCACUGGGCUUAAAGGGUGCGUAGGUGGUUUGGUAAGUCAGUUGUGAAAUCCCCGAGCUUAACUUGGGAACUGCCAUUGAUACUAUCAGUCUUGAAUACCGUGGAGGUCAGCGGAAUAUGUCAUGUAGCGGUGAAAUGCUUAGAUAUGACAUAGAACACCAAUUGCGGAGGCAGCUGGCUACACGAAUAUUGACACUGAGGCUCGAAAGCGUGGGGAUCAAACAGG